rnacentral:rRNA from 1 species
ACGCUCGACACCUACGGAGGCAGCAGUGGGGAAUAUUGCACAAUGGGGGAAACCCUGAUGCAGCGACGCCGCGUGGAGGAAGAAGGUCUUCGGAUUGUAAACUCCUGUUGUUGGGGAAAAAGAGGAUGGUACCCAACAAGGAAGUGACGGCUAACUACGUGCUAGCAGCCGCGGUAAUCUGAGCGGCUGGCAAGGC